rnacentral:rRNA from 1 species
AGCGCAGACGGUUUAUUAAGUCUGAUGUGAAAGCCCGGGGCUCAACUCCGGAAUGGCAUUGGAAACUGGUUAACUUGAGUGCAGUAGAGGUAAGUGGAACUCCAUGUGUAGCGGUGGAAUGCGUAGAUAUAUGGAAGAACACCAGUGGCGAAGGCGGCUUACUGGACUGCAACUGACGUUGAGGCUCGAAAGUGUGGGUAGCAAACA